rnacentral:rRNA from 1 species
CUCCAGACUCCUACGGGAGGCAGCAGUGGGGAAUAUUGCACAAUGGGGGGAACCCUGAUGCAGCGACGCCGCGUGGGUGAAGGAGCACCUCGGUGCGUAAAGCCCUAUCGGCAGGGAAGAAAAGCGAACAGGUUCGCCUGGACGGUACCUGACUAAGAAGCCCCGGCUAACUACGUGCCAGCAGCCGCGGCAAUACGUAGGGGGCAAGCGUUAUCCGGAUUUACUGGGUGUAAAGGGAGCGUAGACGGUUAUGCAAGUCUGAAGUGAAAGCCCAAGGCUCAACCAUGGGACUGCUUUGGAAACUGUAAAACUGGAGUGCAGGAGAGGUAAGCGGAAUUCCUAGUGUAGCGGUGAAAUGCGUAGAUAUUAGGAGGAACACCAGUGGCGAAGGCGGCUUACUGGACUGUAACUGACGUUGAGGCUCGAAGGCGUGGGGAGCAAACAGGAUUAGAUACCCGGGUAAU